UAGGUAUCCUUAUUGCGUUAAGACCAGCAACGCACCAACAAGCGUUGCCUGACGCCGGGGUCACUGAAGCAAGCAGGAUCAAUGACGAGAGCAUUCUUCAUAGUGGAAUCCAGGGAAGCGUAUGGGUUCAUGUAAUGAUCCGUAGAAACCCUAGACGGCGGAGGAGCAGAUCGCCAGCGUCAACGCCGAGAAGGACCCACCUCGCCGACUACAACUGGACCGCGUUCCUCGGAUGGUUUCAGUCUUUGUCCUGGCUCUGUAUCAUUUGAAGGAACGCUGGGCACGGCGGCGGCUUAUGAUGCCGUCGAGAGCCCUCUCAAACUUGAGGUUCUGGAAAUUUGUUCCCUUCUAACCUAAUAUUGUUCCUUCUCUUUGCUGCCAUGGGUUGGAUGAAGGCAUCUUGUGGAGUUUUCCUGAGGUGCUGGAUGAAGAUUAAUUCACCUUUAUUUAAUGAUAAUUGAUCCAUUCAGUCUUUUUUUUUUUUCUUGCAUAUUGGAUGUGAGAGUAUUGGGGUGACACAAUCUUACCAACUAUUAUACUUUGUUAAACAUAACUAUCUCAUAGUUUACUUGAAAAAGCGUAUGCAAUACUGAUGGGGCUGUUUACGUUUUUUUUCUUUUCCUUCGUUUUUUGUGUGACAUCUACAAGUCAGAGAAUGGUGAUCAGGGAUACAAUCAUUACCAAUUUCUAGCAUUAAAAUGAUAUUGUAUUUUUCUAGUGCAGGUCAUGCCAUUUUACUAGCAUUAGUGAAAUAAGGUUUGCACUCUUUUCUGCUUUUUUGUUAAAGCAUUUGCGCACUCAUGCUUGCCUUGCGGUAAUCUCCAAAGCUCCAAUUCCGUUUCCUUCUGCCGGAACGUAAUAGAUGAACAUUGGUGUACUGUCUUUAAAAGUGAAAGCAUAUUAAAUGCAAAUCGUGGCUUGUAAGAAACAGGAAAUCAGUAGUACCUGACUAUAUUUCUAGAUCAUGGAUCGAUAUCACCAUUAACUUCACCAAGGCAUGUUGUUCCAUUGUUUGCUGCUGUCUGUCUUCUCACGGAACUUGCUUGAAUCCAUUCUUGCUUGGUGGACUCUAAACUUAUAUAUUCUAAUGAACUGAGUAGUUAUGUGCUUUUCCAUAUGAUAAGUUUCGUGAGUUGUGAUGAUUUAAUAGAUGAUGACUUGAUAGGAUUGGAGAAACUAGUUUGCAGAUUCAACGAGUGGAUUUCCAAUGAUUACAUAAUCUCUUUCAGCAAAUUGAUUCCAAAUGAUGGUGAACCCGCAGACAAGGUUUCUGAAGGUAUAUUUACUCCAAUCUACUUGUAUCAAACACUUGGAAUGAGAAAAGGAAUGCUGCUGUCUGGUAUUCAUCUGAUUUGAUUCUUGCUUCUGGUUAUAUCCUAUCCAAGGGAAGAGAAGCCAAUUGUAAGGUAAGGAAUGCUGGGCUGACUAAUUCAAUCUCAUUACUGGGGGCUGAGAGUAGUGUGGCUGUGGCCAAGCCUUUCUGUGGGCACUCAAAAUGUGUGGAGUUGGUCCCUCGUUCUCUGUACUUCCUGUUAAAAGAAAUGUGAGGACCUCAAAUGCAAACCAUGCACAAAAGCUAGACAGCUAAUUGAGAGAGCUCCACAUGCAUGGUUGAAGCUAAUCAUGCAUGGGCCCACGAAAGCAUUCAUGGGGACGUAAUCUGUUCUUCUUCUCUUCUUUGUUUUAGAAUCUUCCCUGCUCAUCAGAUCAGAAUUCAGAUAACCAUCCGUGACGCAUUGAGGCAUUGCAUGUUAACGGCAUCCAAGCAUCAAGCAUGGCAAGAUUUCUAUUUCAACUUGUCCCUCCCUUAUCUAUGCUUCGGUUGGCCUUUGUACUUUAUAUUCAACAAUAAACUCAUGAAACAAUAAUAUCAUUCAACACGCCACUUAAUUUUGAACAGCUUGAUGUUCCGAAGACCUCCUCAUGCCAUAAGCAAUUUUGUCCAUCACUCUAUAGCACUAUUUAGUGUAGAAUAUACUACAAUUUCUGUUCCCUCUGAUUGUGUCUGGUAUUUGCCCAUAGUUUAGAAUGCUUCCGUCUAAUUUAUUCAUCUCGUUUUGUCUUCUGAUUCUGAAGAUGCUGUUCAAAUGAAAAGCCUUAAAACAAGUGGUCGUAGGUCGUUUAUAGCAGUGCUUUCUUUUAUGACUCAUGGUAUUGGUCUCCAUUUAAGCAAUGCUUUCAAGGAUAGGCUUUCAAUUUUUUCCCCUCCCUGGGGAUAUACAGCUAAUGAUAUGUUGACAUGCAGGUGCUUUUCUUAACAAUAUUGCACUUUAUUCUUGGCCCCACUCUAUCAUGCUGUUACUAGUAGCUAAUUUACAUAUGAAAUGCAUCCAUGGACAUCAUUCUGAGGGUAGUUGGCUCUGCUUUGUAACUGUCAAAGUUGAUAUCCAACAUGGAGAGUGCAUCAGAUCUGCUGAUUAUUAGCAGCCUACACAUCCUAGUUCAGGUUUCGAUUAUCGAGAGGCACAUCAAUGAUCCAUGGAGCUUUUGAUAGGGUUAAUAAAAUUUUAAAUACUGAAAAAUGACCCAUUGAUCAAACAUUUAAGAAUUAAGUAAGAAUUUUAUGUGCCAAAUGCUCUUAGUUCAUAUAAUCCAUUUGCAAUCGUUUAUGGAAGGGUCUCUACAAACUUGUUGUCUGUAGUGUUCAAAUGCCCAGCAUGAUCAAUUUCAUAAGAACCAUAUUUUUUGACUUUUGGAGCAAUUGUUCAAAUGCUCAGCAUGUAACAAUAAUGAUGGUCCUUUCACAUGUUAUUUUACAUGAAGAAUAUUGAACUCUGUUGUUAGGAUGGUACCACACAAAGGUGUCAUUUGCUGCUUCAAAGCUGAUCCCAUCAUCUUAGAUGACUUAUGCCUUAAUGUGCAGUGAUUAUGUUAACGAUGGUUUUGAUUCAAAGAACUGAGCCUUGCCUCAACUUUAAGCUGAUAAUUAGGAUAAUGGCAAUGAAGACGAGGUCUAUGAUGAACCUGAUGCAUCAGUUAUCAUAUUGCUUGUUGUACCUAAGAAAUUCUUUGGCAGGUAGACAAGCAUGACUUUAUUAAACUGAUGGGUUGCUUAGUGUAGCUUAUCUAGUUUGCAAUUGUCAACUUAUAUAAGAGCUGCAAAAGUUGUAGGAGUACCUCAGGCAUCUUAAUAAUAUAUACCUGCUACUAAAUCUUCUUCGUCUUCUACAAUAAGGAAAAGACAAAUUUAUUCUCAUAGAGUACAAGUGCAAACAAACGCAGGGCAUCUCAACAUCAGUUUUACUUGGUAUCCCUUUAGUAUGUCAUAGAAUACAGGUACCACUAAGACUCCCUCACAAAAGACAAAAUUAAUGUUUUAUUCACAUUUGUUUCUUGUUUUCAACAAUUGCUUUGCACUUAUUUCAGCUACUAUUUAAUGGGAUCAUAAUUGUUACUUGGUAAGUGAAACGAUCCAAGGUUUUCCAUCAGGAAUCGUAAAUUUCUAUUAAUUGGAAAGUUCUAGGGAUAAUUGGUGGGUACUGUUGUUGUCUGCAAAGAGAAAGAGAACUGCAAUGCUUUCUUUCA